rnacentral:tRNA from 1 species
AAGUAAUGAAGUAAUAAUUUACAUUUAGUUUCGACCUAAAAAAAGAAUAAUAUUCCUUACUUG